rnacentral:rRNA from 1 species
AUUGAACGCUGGCGGCAGGCCUAACACAUGCAAGUCGAGCGGAUGAAGAGAGCUUGCUCUCUGAUUUAGCGGCGGACGGGUGAGUAAUGCAUAGGAAUCUGCCUGGUAGUGGGGGAUAACGUUCCGAAAGGAACGCUAAUACCGCGUACGUCCUACGGGAGAAAGCAGGGGACCUUCGGGCCUUGCGCUAUCAGAUGAGCCUAGGUCGGAUUAGCUAGUUGGUGAGGUAAUGGCUCACCAAGGCGACGAUCCGUAACUGGUCUGAGAGGAUGAUCAGUCACACUGGAACUGAGACACGGUCCAGACUCCUACGGGAGGCAGCAGUGGGGAAUAUUGGACAAUGAGCGAAAGCCUGAUCCAGCCAUGCCGCGUGUGUGAAGAAGGUCUUCGGAUUGUAAAGCACUUUAAGUUGGGAGGAAGGGCAGUAAGUUAAUACCUUGCUGUUUUGACGUUACCGACAGAAUAAGCACCGGCUAACUUCGUGCCAGCAGCCGCAGUAA